rnacentral:rRNA from 1 species
CGCGUAGGCGGCGCAAGAAGUCAGGCGUGAAAGCCCCGGGCUCAACCUGGGAAUUGCGCUUGAUACUCUUGUGCUUGAGUUCGGGAGAGGAGAGUGGAAUUCCCAGUGUAGAGGUGAAAUUCGUAGAUAUUGGGAAGAACACCGGUGGCGAAGGCGGCUCUCUGGACCGAUACUGACGCUGAGGCGCGAAAGCGUGGGGAGCAAACAGGAUUAGAUACCCUGGUAGUCCACGCCGUAAACGAUGUGCGCUAGACGUCGGAAGGCAUAGCCUUUCGGUGUCGCAGCUAACGCAUUAAGCGCACCGCCUGGGGAGUACGGCCGCAAGGUUAAA